GGUGCUACUAAAAAAAAAAUAAAAGUUGCUCAGUGGAUGCUUCAAAUUCCUGGUGCAACAAGUUAUAUGGGCUGUAUUGGAAAGGAUAAGUUUGGAGAGGAGAUGAAGAAAAACUCAAGGCAAGCUGGUGUCAAUGUACAUUAUUAUGAGGAUGAGACUGCUCCAACAGGGACAUGUGCUGUUUGUGUUGUUGGUGGUGAGAGGUCAGUUUACCUUUUUAGCUUAUAUUUCUAAUUUGCAGUGUUAAUUAAGCCUUGUGCAUUUGAUGGCCACUUUUUCUUGUUGUGAGAUGUUAAUAAAUGAGUUGGCUCACCUUUUGACACUGUCUCUUAAAUAU